ensembl:lncRNA
AAACGCAAUGUGUCAAAAACCCCUCGGAGGGAGGAACGGAGCCAAGUGAUUUGUCUCCCUUCAAGGGCCGUGACUCCCAUCACUACUUCACAGUCGCACAGCUGUAAAACACUGAUGGACUUACAGGGAGCAUGCGACAGGGUCUGUGAGACUGUGACGGAGGAUGGAGAGGAUGCUUUUUUCCUUUUUUUUUGUUUUUCAAUCCGCAAAUCCUUAAAUCCUCAAAUCCUCAAAUCUGGAAACAUUUUACUUUUCACUCUAAAAGUUUAGUUGUCGAAAUUCAGUUUGUAAACAUUCGAUUUUUUUACGUGUGGUUAUGUAUCUCGGUCGGAUGGAAAAAACAUUGACAUAGUGCGUGUGUGUGUGCGUGUGUGUGUGUGUCUGCGUGUGUCAUUAGAAAACAGCCUCGGGGAGCCCCAUCUCCACUAUGAGGCUCAUCUUAAUGACAAUUCUGCCAAUACUUGCGUGUGUGUGUGUGUGUGUGUGUGUGUGUGUGUGUGUGUGUGUGUGUGUGUGUGUGUGUGUGUGUGUGUGUGUGUGUGAGAGCGUGAGUGUGUGUGUGAGCGUGAGUGUGUGUGUGAGCGUGAGUGUGUGUGUGGGUGUGUGUGUGUGUUCAAUGGUCUUUCCACGCAAGGCCACUAAAGUUCUGUGUCACCAAAGCGUCACCUACAUGGACAGUAACAGUUCGAGUGUUUGUGUCGUGACAUUCUGUCUGUGAUAUUUGGAAGCUGUUGUUAUCUGGAUAUGAUUUCUGUGUGGAUGAUCUACUGCAUGAUGACGAAAGCUACGUCGAUAGAUAGAGAGGCAGAUGGAAACGAACUGAACGAAGGUUGCAGCACAACUAAGAAUCACAACUCCUAUCCUGUCACCAUGGAAACCGCCGAACAAUCAGAGCUGCCAGUGGACUGUGAAGUGGAGGUGGCUGUGGCUGAUUCACCUGAGCAGGGGAAGGAUUUCAGUGCAGAUGACGAGCAAGUUUGUUUAGAGACAGACUUAUCAGAUUCCCCAGGGGAAAAGGCAAUUCUUGGUACAUUAUUACCUGACCUGCCGACUGGGAAAAUUGAGAUUGACAUCCCUGAUUGCUCUGAGACAACUGAAAUGCCUUGCCAGGAUCAAAAGGAAGUUUUAAUAUUAGAAUCAGGGCAUGAAGAGCUCAACAGAAAUGAGUCAAUCACCUCGUCUGUGUCUGACACACUCUCCAGUGCUGAUAGUGUUUAUGAGAAUGAGGCCCAUCGUAAGAGACAGGACACACCAGAACAAGAUCCUGAGCAAGAACAAUUCCCUGAGUCGGAGCAGUAUCCUGAACCAGAGCAAGACCCUGAACCAGAGCAGUAUCCCGAACCAGAGCCAGACCCUGAACCAGAGCAGUAUCCUGAACCAGAGCAGUAUCCUGAACCAGAGCCAGACCCUGAACCAGAGCAGUAUCCUGAACCAGAGCCAGACCCUGAAACAGAGCAGUAUCCUGAACCAGAGCCAGACUCCGAACCAGAGAAAUACCCUGAGCCUGAGGACAACCUUGAAGUGGGGCCCUACCCUGAACCAGAGCAAUACCCUGAGCCUGAGGACAACCUUGAAGUGGGGCCCUACCCUGAGCCUGAGGACAACCUUGAAGAUGGGCAAUACCCUGAGCAAGAUCCUGAGGUAGAGUUAUACCCUGAUCCUGAGGACAACCUUGAAGACGGACAAUACCCUGAACCUGAGGAGAACAUCGAAGCAGGACAACACCCUGAGCCUGAGGACAACCUUGAAGAUGGGGAAUACCCUGAGCAGGAUCCUGAGCUAGAGUUAUACCCUGAGCCAGAGUUAUACACUGAGCCAGAGCCUGAGGCUGAUCAUAACGACUUUAAUCCUAAAGAUAAUGGCUAUAAAAGUCUGCAAAUGGACACUGAGGAAGACCCAGAGGCCCAUGAAAUCCUAUUUGAUCCACCCAUUACAGGGGAGUCAAUAUUGGAGCAUUGCAUUAGAGAAGAGGCAAUGUCAGAUUCCAAUGAAUCCUGCCAUGACCUUGACCACGAGGAAAUGGAUGAAUGCCUGAGAGUUGAAAUUGCAGCGGCUUCCUCGGAUAGUGAUGGUGACGAAAAAUGGAGGGCAAUAUUCUCCUCUUCUAUAAAUAAAGAAGAUGACGAUUCCUAUUUGGACAGUCUUCAGCUGAGUGCCCAGGAGCUCUUUGUGCAGAAAGUUGAGGUGACAGACUUUGAAGAACAAGGCAACUUUGAAGAGGUCUGUUUUGGGGUUCCAGAGGAUGAAGAAGUUCUUGAACAACCUGAAGAUGUAAUUCCCUUUCCCGCCCUGACACAAGAGGUUAAAUAUAAUCCUUUAGGCAUUCAAGGUUUGUCCAAGAUCUCUGAAGAUGAGAGUGAAAAUGGCAGGGAUGCCAAUCAUAACCACACCACCCACCAACAGCAAAACGAGGCAGAUCAAAACAAGAAGCUACCUAAAGACUUCUGUGUGAUACAGGAGACUAAGAGUGAGAAUGUCAGCACAGAGCAUGUGGACUUCCAGCAAACUCGUAAACAGUGGCGGGAAAAAGAGGAGCAGACCAAGAACAAGAUUGUCUUGCCUACUACCAAGCAGCCCAGCUUCCAUGGCGGCCACAACUUCAUGUACACACCAGUCCGCAACAUCGAAAGAACUCACAAAAAAGCGCAUGAUCUAGAGAAUUUGAAUCUGGUAGGGGAUUAUCCUCUCACCCAAUUCAGCCCUUGCUCAGAGGACUCUGGCCUGGAUGACUCCAGUUACAGGUCCGCAUAUGACGACCCAGAAACACCGAUUGAGAGGGAGAUUCGCAUAUCAAUGGAGAGGGAGGAAAACUUUAGGAGAGAGAAGGGCUUCUCGAGGAUGGGCAAAUCAACCGACUGCGCUCCAUCACGAGGUAUACCCAGAUCCAUAAGCACUCCGCUUACGCCAUCCUUCAUCAUCACCUCCUCACCCACUAAGGAACCGCUGAAACAUACCAUCAUACUCGACCCCAGCAGCGAUUUCACCACCAGUCCCAGACAUGGCAAAGACAAUGUGGCAGCUCGGCCUGGCGAGUGGCGCUCCGAGGACCACAGCUCGAACCUCAUCAUCCUGGAGACAACCAAUCUGAUAAUUCGCAGUGCCUCGGAGUUCUCCCUCAACAAAGCCUGUGAGCCGCCGCAGGAAAAGAUGUUCCUCAACAACCCCUUUUUCAAGCUGCGUUCAAGAAGCACACUGUCGUUUGUGGAUGAAGACAUUAAGUUGGUGAAGCAGAGGGAGGAAGAGCUGAGGAAAGAGAGAGCAAACCUGUAUGGCAAAGACAGGUUCAACACGGAAAGAAUGCUGUCAAAUCACAUGGACACUUUGACAUUUGACACUUCAGAUGUACCAGAGAAGUGCAAGUCCUCUCCAUCAUCACCAAUGAAAACAGCCUACAGGAUGGAUCGCUCUGCUCUGUCCUGUGAUCACAGAUUUCCGGAGGUCUACGCCGGAGGAAGACGCAAGAGUGCCAUGGCCGUGCGCUGGGAGGCGGGCGAGUUUACAAAAAAUGAGUGA